rnacentral:rRNA from 1 species
UACGUAGGCAGCGAGCGUUGUUCGGAGUUACUGGGCGUAAAGAGCUCGUAGGCGGCUUGUCACGUCGGAUGUGAAAGCCCGGGGCUUAACUCCGGGACUGCAUUCGAUACGGGCUGGCUAGAGUGUGGUAGGGGAGAUCGGAAUUCCUGGUGUAGCGGUGAAAUGCGCAGAUAUCAGGAGGAACACCGGUGGCGAAGGCGGAUCUCUGGGCCGUUACUGACGCUGAGGAGCGAAAGCGUGGGGAGCGAACAGG